rnacentral:rRNA from 1 species
GAUGAACACUAGCUACAGGCUUAACACAUGCAAGUCGAGGGGAAACGACAUCGAAAGCUUGCUUUUGAUGGGCGUCGACCGGCGCACGGGUGAGUAACGCGUAUCCAACCUGCCCAUCACUUGGGAAUAACCUUGCGAAAGUAAGACUAAUACCCAAUGAUAUCCCACGAAGGCAUCGGAAUGGGAUUAAAGAUUUAUCGGUGAUGGAUGGGGAUGCGUCUGAUUAGCUUGUUGGCGGGGUAACGGCCCACCAAGGCAACGAUCAGUAGGGGUUCUGAGAGGAAGGUCCCCCACAUUGGAACUGAGACACGGUCCAAACUCCUACGGGAGGCAGCAGUGAGGAAUAUUGGUCAAUGGGCGAGAGCCUGAACCAGCCAAGUAGCGUGCAGGAAGACGGCCCUAUGGGUUGUAAACUGCUUUUAUAAGGGAAUAAAGUGGGUCACGUGUGACUUUUUGCAUGUACCUUAUGAAUAAGGACCGGCUAAUUCCGUG